rnacentral:rRNA from 1 species
UACAGAGGUCCCAAGCGUUGUUCGGAUUCACUGGGCGUAAAGGGUGCGUAGGUGGUCGGGUAAGUCUGAUGUGAAAUCUCUGAGCUCAACUCAGAAACUGCAUUGGAUACUAUCCGGCUGGAGGAGUGGAGGGGGGACUGGAAUACUUGGUGUAGCAGUGAAAUGCGUAGAUAUCAAGUGGAACACCAGUGGCGAAGGCGAGUCCCUGGACACUUCCUGACACUGAGGCACGAAAGCUAGGGGAGCAAACAGG